GAGGGUAUAGCUCAGUGGUAGAGCACAUGCUCCUGGGUUCUGGGUUCAAUUCCCAGUACCUCUA
rfam:Camelus ferus unplaced genomic scaffold scaffold878, whole genome shotgun sequence.